rnacentral:lncRNA from 1 species
GUCUUACGGACAGCUCUUGUUGUAUCUUAACACUCAACAGGGUUACCAUGGAAACAUGCACCUACAUCUAAGUAGUGAUAUCAAUGGAUGACAGACGUCCAGUUGUACAGUUUUACAGCAGAUGUUGGGGCAUAUAGGGUGUGUAUAUUUACUUUUCCGUUCUUUAGGCCACACCGUGAUAUGUUUGCUUCUGUUUAUACACAUACAUUUCUGUAUCUAUACACUUAACAGGGCUACCAAGGAGACGUAACACUACAUUUAGGCAGUGGUGCAAAUGGAAACAGACAUUCAGAUCUACACAGUUUUACGGCAGAAUCUGGAGUACAAAAAGUGAGUAUAUUUACUUUUCCUAACUUGUUGCCACACUAUAGAUAUAUUUAAUUCUAUUCUUACACAUGCAAUUUUUGCAUCUAUACACUCAACAGGGUUACCAUGGAAACAUACAUCUAGGCAAUGUUAUAGAUGGAUGACCGACGUCUGGAUCUACAAAGUUAUACAGCAUAUUUUAGAGAAUACAUGGUAUGCAUGUUUACUUUUAAUUUCUUGUAACAACAUACUCACUCGGGGCGUUGAAUUCUUCAAGGAAGCCCCAUUCAGCUGGCUUACGGAAGGUCGGUGGUUCAAACCAGGUGCUCGCUCGCGGUGAAAUAAAGCACGGAGGGGCACCUGGGUUCUUUCUCCACCAUUACAGCUGUAAAGUCGUCAUAUGACCUAUCAUGUGCCGGUGCGACGUUAAAUCCAACAAAAAAGGUAACACUAUAAUACAUUUGUUUCCGUCUUUACACAUGUCUUUCUGUAUCUAAUGCAUUCAACAGGGUUACCACGGAAACGUAUAUCUACUUUAGGGCAAUGAUAUAGACGGACUGCAGACGUUCAGAUACACAAAGUUUUACAGCAGAUGAAGCAUAUAAGGUGUGUUACUUUUUCUACCUUUUGGCAACAUUGUGUUAUGUUUGUUUCUGUUUUUACACAUGCCUGUCUGUGUCUUAUACACACGACAGGUUUAGCACGGAAACGCAUGUCCACAGCAAUGCAGUGGUAUAAAUGGAUGACUGACGUUCAGAUGUACUAAGUUAUACAGCAAACUUUGGAGCAUAAAGGGUGUGUAAAUUUACUUUUCUUUUGAUGCGCAAUUUGUAUAAAGGUAAUACUAAGAUUAUAUAUGUUUGUUUCUGUUCUUACACAUGCCUGUCUGUAUCUUAUACACACAACAGGUUUAGCACGGAAACGCAUGUCCACAGCAAUGCAAUGGUAUAAAUGGAUGACUGACGUUCAGAUGUACUAAGUAAUACAGCAAAUUUUGGAGCAUAAAGGGUGUGUAAAUUUACUUUUCUUUUGAUGCGCAAUUUGUAUAAAGGUAAUACUAAGAUUAUAUAUGUUUGUUUCUGUUCUUACACAUGCCUGUCUGAAUCUUAUACACACAACAGGUUUAGCACGGAAACGCAUGUCCACAUCAAUGCAAUGGUAUAAAUGGAUGACUGACGUUCAGAUGUACUAAGUUAUACAGCAAACUUUGGAGCAUAAAGGGUGUGUAAAUUUACUUUUCUUUUGAUGCGCAAUUUGUAUAAAGGUAAUACUAAGAUUAUAUAUGUUUGUUUCUGUUUUCUGACACAUGCCUGUCUGUAUCUUAUACACACAACAGGUUUAGCACGGAAACGCAUGUCCACAGCAAUGCAAUGGUAUAAAUGGAUGACUGACGUUCAGAUGUACUAAGUUAUACAGCAAACUUUGGAGCAUAAAGGGUGUGUAUAUUUUCUUUUCUUUUGAUACGCAAUUUGUAUAAAGGUAAUACUAAGAUUAUAUAUGUUUGUUUCUGUUCUUACACAUGCCUGUCUGUAUCUUAUACACACAACAGGUUUAGCACGGAAACGCAUGUCCACAGCAAUGCAAUGGUAUAAAUGGGUGACCGACGUUCAGAUGUACUAAGUUAUACAGCAAACUUUGGAGCAUAAAGGGUAUGUAUAUUUACUUUUCCUUUAAUGCGUAUAAAGGUAAUACUAAGAUUAUAUAUGUUUGUUUCUGUUCUUACACAUGCAUUUCUCUAUCUAUACACUCAACAGGGUUACCAUGGAAACGUUCCUCUUCAUCUAGGCAAUGGUAUCAACUGAUGGCCGUCGUUCAAGUCCCUGGCAAAGAGAGGAAUCUAGCUGUCGACCAAGUGCUACAGGCUUAGGUUUAAAUAAUUUAAGCCUUGCUAAGACCUGAAAAUGAAUGUCAGGUAAAACUGAAACAAAAGUAAAAUAACUGGAUGCACUUAGAGAGCACGUAAUCUAUCUUUUAUAUUUUCGCUUCGUAAUACUGUAUGUUUAGUGUUUGCUGUUUUGUCAGGGGUUUGUUUACAGUGGCUACUUGGUUGUUUUUGUGGUGGUGUUUGUUGUGUGUUUGUUGUGGUGUUUUGUGUUUAUGGAGGUGUCUGCGGUGGUUUUAAUGUGGUUUUCUCGGUUUUAUUCUUGAUGGCUAUGUUGUUUUGUUGAAGACGGGUAUUUGGUGCGUUUUGUUUGUUGUAUUGGGUUCUUCGUCAUGGUGGUUUUCUUUCUGCCAUUACCAAUGUAUUAUUACUCGCUUUGUAUACUGUAGAAAAUUAUUAGAAUAAGUUCAAUAUUACAUUGUGUUAUAGUAACUUUACUUGUCCAGCAAAUUUUAGAUACCCGGAAACACAUAUGAAGAUAUAUGCAGACGAACAGGCAUCGUGUGCAGACGACAGCUUGGACUGGGUAAGAGUGCGCCAUUGUUUUAUUUCUGCUUUUUAUUCCAUUUGUUUUGCAUUGCUUUUUUCCAAGUUAUAUACAAACAGAUGUAAAGAUGUCGCAUUGUAGAUGACACAAUGGUCUAGUGGAUAGUGAAGAUAGCGCGGCUGAUGUUGACUGUACAGACAAGCGUAACUAAGAUGUCAUGAUGUAGAAGUGGACGACUCAGAUUGGUUCUUCUUCUCGGACGCACUGAGUAUUCAGUCAGCAGAGCAUAACUUUCAACAUUCAGAAAGCAAAGGUCAACAGGGAGUAAUUCAGUAGCAUGGGAAUGUGGACACAGAUCCUGUUUUUUUUGUGAAAGAAAUACUUCAAAUAUCCGACGAGAAGCAAUUUCUUGGAUUAUACACGAAGAAAAUGUUAGUUGAUGGAACAAUAGUGGCAGUAGAACGACCUUGCUGGUAUCCUAACGAAGCCGGUCACCAGAUGUGCAUAGAAACCCUAUCGAACCCUUGCGUUAACAUGGUAAUCAGCCGUUAUCAACAAGGCAAGAUAGUGCAUGGUUAUAGUGGAAUUCAAGCCUUGGUGGACCUUUCUUCGGUAUUUGUCCCGUCUUGUUGAUGGUAGACAGCUGUUCCACACCUCGUGCACAACAGAGAAACCCCCUCGGACGAAGACUUCGUUUAGAUCUAAAAGGCAAGGAGACAGUGUUUGCCAUUAUUGAAAGACAAAGAAAAAGAAGCCAUGACAGAAAACACAUAUCACCGUACCGUCUUGUCUUUAAUGUUUCCAACCGCUGACAGGCCGAUGUAAGCCAGAUUCACAAGUAAGACGUAUCUGCAGAAGGAAGAACUAAUUAUGGUAGAUCCACGAAAGUCCUGGCACAAGCAAACAUGGCACCACCACAGCCCCGACACAAGCCUUGUUAAACAGAAUAGAUAUGAACUGACAUGUAUAUAAUUAUACCCUCAUGUACAAAGUACAUGGGAUUAUAUUGGAGUCACACAUGUCGGCGGGUCCAUUCGUCCGUUCGCCUAUUUGUCCAUCAUGUCCGCUGGGAAGAUUAAAAAAAAAAUGGCUUCAUUUAUAAGCCUCAUCAAGAAUGUUCGUUGUGCUCAACCCAAGUCACUAGGCCCAAGGUCGGUAUUACUCUUGGAGGACAAAGUUCAAAUAACUUUAAUUUAGUGUCCGGUCCAUAUUGUCUAAACUGCAACGAAUAUUUAGGUCAGACAUUCGUUUUGUACUCGCCCUGCCUUCAGGGUCACUGUCACCGUUGCAUUCAGGUUAAAUUUUUAUAUGAUUCUCAAAGUCACUAUAUAUUUUUAACUGCCCAUAGCAUCACUAGCAUCAAACUUCACACGAGGGUUGAUUGUGGUAAUACGCAGACAUUUAUUUGUUAGGGGUCAAGCAUCCAAAAGGUCGAAGUUACUGGGGUCAUAUUUUGUAAUUAUGCUGGUUAAAUCUUAAAUUGUUUCUUAUAUCUUCUCAUUCACCCGCUCCUACCCCCUACCCUACCCCCAAAUGGAAAAGAGUCUUAUUGUUUCAUAACUCACGCUUACUUAUAUCCUAUAACAAUAAAUAUUGGUCAGCAUUUCCGAAUAGUCACGCGGGCUUUCCUUCCAACAGUUCUUGAUAUAAAAUUAGGAUUAGUAAAUAGAUGUAGGCACUCACAACCUAGUUCAUUAGGUCAAAGGUUAAGUUCUGACUUAAGAGACCGCACCAUAUUGUCUAAUCUAAUAAAGUAAGCACUAACUCUCAAUUCCAUCUAGCCAAAAUACGAAAAGCACAACACAUGCCAAAGGUUAAAGGUCAGUGUGACGCACAGGAGGUCAAAGGUCAAAUAGCUUUGUGUCUGCUACAUACCUUGUAACCCCAUUUUCCUUACACUCAUAAAACCACCUCAUUUUCCUUACACUCAUAAAACUAGCAAUAAAUAUCAAGAAGACCUGUAUAGAACCCAGAUUAUUUGAUCCAAGGUCAAGGUUACACUUGAAUGUCAAAAUGAUGACCAACGUUGACUUACCCUGCAUCAGAGCAGCGUUUGGGGGUAACAGUAGCUCGUUUAUCAUUUUAGCGGACUAAAUUUGUAAUUGUAUCAACCAUUUGGCAAAUAUUUCCUUAAUUUUAUGAUAAAUAUAUAAAACAAAAAUCAGGACAUUGUUUUUUGAACACUGAUACAGUCGGACUAUUUUUAGACAUAACGAAUAUUUUAGCUUGGUUUGUUGUCAGUCAUGAUUUAAUGCAAGGUAUUUUUCUAAAUGAUAUUUUUGUUAUAAAUAGCACAUUUGACAUUCAUGUAAAAAAAUCAGGGACAGCGAAUUUUUAUAAGAAAAAAAUGAUUUGGUUAAAUAUUUCAAAAAGUGUCUCAAAUUUUUGCUCUUUUGAACAGUUGCGUUUUGACUGGUCAGGGAUAGUUUCAAAAAUAAAUAUGCGUAGUUUAGUUUAUGUAUAAAAAGCUACUUUUCGCAAAUUGUACAUUUUGGAGCGGGGCUAAAUUCCAGACUCUCAUAUAUUUUAAAACAUAUAGAAGACAUUUCUUUGCUUCAGUGUAAGCUCGAAAUAGAAACAUUCUGGUGUUCACACGUGAAAUUUUUUAAAAAGUAAUCACGGAUUUUAUUCUAAUGCAUUUUAUUAUUUUUAUUUUAUAUUUUCUGCCAACGUAACGUCAUACGCAAUGUGCAACGUUACUCUACAUUUAAUGGCAAUAUAUAUGUUGGAAAAAAGUGACAUAGUGACAUUUUAAUCUAUGUGUACUUCUGUUUUAAUUAAAAAGAUAUCCGAUUCUACGUUUUUUAUAUUCUUGCGUUAAAUUGUGGUUACAUACAAGUGAAAAUUAUAUUUGGAUUUCCCACCCUUAAACAGUGGCUUUAUCAGGAUAUAAUGCAUCGUUGUUUUCUUGAAACCUUCUCAAAAUUUGAUAUAUAAUUCCAUAUAUGCUAGUAACUGCAGAAUGUACCGAUAAGACUGUAAUUCUUUUAUUCAAAUCCGCAUUCUAGUCCUUUGUCUGGGUCAGCUACAUGUUGCUUUUAAAAGUCAUUUUGGCCUCAUUUUUGUACACUGAAUUUUACACACAGUUUUGCAUAACUUUUAACCAACACCUAACUCUGAGCACUAACCUUAACCAUUUGGGGCUGAAGUGACUUUUAAAGCAACUUUGUCUUUUAUGGGAAUAAGACUAGCAUAUCUUUAUAUAUGAUAGGUAAAAUUGUUUGCAAACUUUCAAGAUUUUAGUCUAUCCUUUUAAUGGAGUACUGUAGUAUAACAUGAUAAAUUCAUUGUUUUAAACAGAGAGAAAUCCAAAUAUGAUGUUCACUAGAACGGAACUACACUUAAACGCGAAAGGAUAUGAAUUGUAAGGACGUGAAAUAUGCUUAAAAGCAACAAAGCUGUAUAGUAAUGCUUUCAAAAAAAACUAAAUACACGAGAAAAUCAUUGAAAUAUAAAAGAUUCUUAUACAUCUCUUAGACCUAUUGAACUUAUUUUCCAACAUAAGCAUUGUGACGUCAUGAAAUAUAGCGUGACGUUACCCAUAGCGCAUGUCUUUGCAUGGCUGAAUAAGAAAAGAUAGUAUGAAAAAUAAUUAGCCUAGUUUAACUCAACAAGACAUAAAGCAAUACAACAUUUAUGUGUAUACAUGUAAUUUGGUUAAAACUGUUAGAAGUUAAGAAUUAGAUAUCAACGUUUCAUAAUGAAUUAUUUUCACUUGGGAACACCAGAUUUAAGUUCACUCGGUGCUGAAAUAAACGAAUGUCUUCUAUACCUUUUACGAUAGCAAAUGGGUAAAACUUAAGGUGACAGAAAUAACUAAAACAAUCCCUUACCAUUUUGAAAUGACAGUCAGUUUCAUUUUUGGUGCAAAUAUUGUCUGUUAUACUGAUUUAUUAAUGAUACACAUUUUUGUACCUUGCAUUACAGUAACGUAGAUAUUUUAAAAUAUAAUUCCAAGUUUACCAUAUUUUCUCAAGGAGUUGAAUUCAAGGAAUUUUUGUACAUAUCGUAUUAAAUUGUAAAAUAAUAGUAUUUUAGAAGUAUUUUUAUUGUUUUAACUCUGUAGUUACUUUUCAAAUGUUAUUUGUGAUUAUUUUUUACAUUUCAUUUCUGUUUGAAAAAUGAAUAAAAUGAGAUACAGUUGUGUUGAUUAUUUUAGUUUAAGAAAUAAAAGGUCAUACAAUUGCAUUGGUUAUUGAUGUUUCGGAAAUCAAAAAUGACUUUCCUUUAGUAUCUCUAAGUACUUACCGUCACACCGUACGCAACAUGCAGGUGUGUUCAGUUGGUCAUACUUUAUCCGGAGAUUAUCCUAAUUGAUAUGCUUUUUGUCAACCACCAAUGAUAUUUCACCUUGAAAACUGAAGUUAUUCCAACACGUACUUUGUCCUUCAAUUUAUCCCUCUUAACACCAUUUGCUAAAUAAGUGGUCACUUGUCGACUUUUUUCCCAUCCAAAGGUAUUGCCCCUUCCCCCCUUUGACGCCAUUUGAAUUACGGAGGGGUGGGGUCACUUUUACAGACUCCUUUCCCACAUUGUUAUUGCCCCUUCCCUUUUGACGUCAUUUGCAAAAACGGAGAGGUCACUCUUACACACCUUUUCCCACAUCCAUUUAUUGCCCCUUCCCCCUCUGACGCCAUUUGCAAUACAAAGGGGAGGUCACUUUCACAAACCUUUCCCAAUCCAGUAAUUGUCCCUUCCCCCUUUGACGCCAUUUGCAAUACGAAGGGGAGGUCACUUACACGCUUCUUUCCCUAUCCAGUUUUUGCCCC